rnacentral:rRNA from 1 species
CAGUAGCCGCGGGAAUACGUAGGGUGCAAGCGUUAAUCGGAAUUACUGGGCGUAAAGCGUGCGCAGGCGGUUUGUUAAGACAGAUGUGAAAUCCCCGGGCUUAACCUGGGAAUGGCAGUGGAUACUGGCUCGCUAGAGUGUGUCAGAGGAUGGUGGAAUUCCCGGUGUAGCGGUGAAAUGCGUAGAGAUCGGGAGGAACAUCAGUGGCGAAGGCGGCCAUCUGGGACAACACUGACGCUGAGGCACGAAAGCGUGGGGAGCAAACAGGAUUAGAUACCCCCGUAGUCCCUGUCUCUUAUAC